rnacentral:tRNA from 1 species
GCGGAUGUGGCGAAAUGGCAGACGCACUACCUUGAGGUGGUAGCGCCGCAAGGCAUGCGGGUUCGACUCCCGCCGUCCGCACCA